rfam:Sus scrofa isolate TJ Tabasco breed Duroc chromosome 14, whole genome shotgun sequence.
ACCCUGGUGAUCUAGUGGUUAGGAUUCAGCACUUCCACUACUGUGGCCCAGGUUCAAUCCCUGAUCUGGGAA